UGUUAAUCCCCUCAGUAAACAGGUUGUGUUAAUCCCUCAGUAAACAGGUUGUGUUAAUCCCUCAGUAAAAGGUUUGUUAACCUCGUAAACAGGUGUUAAUCCCUCAGUAAACAGGUUGAAUCCCUCAGUAAACAGGUUGUUAAUCCCUCAGUAAACAGGUUGUGUUAAUCCCUCAGUAAACAGGUUGUGUUAAUCCCUCAGUAAACAGGUGUUGUUUAUCCCUUAGAAAGCAGGUUGUUAAUCCCUCAGUAACCAGGUUGUGUUAAUCCCUCAGUAAGCAGGUUGUGUUAAUCCCUCCGAAAAGGUUGUGUUAACCCUCAGAAAGGUGUGUUAAUCCCCUCGUAAACAGU
rnacentral:lncRNA from 1 species